rnacentral:rRNA from 1 species
GAUGAACGCUGGCGGCGUGCCUAAUACAUGCAAGUCGAGCGAACAGACGAGGAGCUUGCUCCUCUGACGUUAGCGGCGGACGGGUGAGUAACACGUGGAUAACCUACCUAUAAGACUGGGAUAACUUCGGGAAACCGGCGCUAAUACCGGAUAAUAUAUUGCACCGCAUGGUUCAAUAGUGAAAGACGGUUUUGCUGUCACUUAUAGAUGGAUCCGCGCCGCAUUAGCUAGUUGGUAAGGUAAAGGCUUACCACAGCGACGAUGCGUAGCCGACGUGACAGAGGGAUCGGCCACACUGGAACUGAGACACGGUCCAGACUCCUACGGUAGGCAGCAGUAGGGAACCUUCCGCAAUGGGCGAAAGCCUGACGGAGCAACGCGGCGUGAGUGAUGAAGGUCUUCGGAUCGUAAAACUCGGUUAUUAGGGAAGAACAAAUGUGUAAGUAACUAUGCACGUCUUGACGGUACCGAAUCAGAAAGCCACGGCUAACUACGUG